rnacentral:tRNA from 1 species
GUCGUUAUAGUAUAGUGGUAAGUAUUUUCGUCUGUCACGCGGACGAUCCGGGUUCGAUCCCCGACAACGGCG